rnacentral:lncRNA from 1 species
ACAUGCCACUAGCCCCGCAAGGCGCCUGACUCCUCUAAGGGGAACUCGUAAUGCUCACCAAAAGCCUCAGAAACCCUGGAACCUAUAAGACCGCACCACCGCGCAAACGGUGUCCCGGGCUGCGCUCCCGCACUGCACCGGCAGCCUAUGAGGCGAGGCCAACCCGGAGACUGCGCGCGACGGGCGUGCGUGCGUGCGCCCGCAGAUUCGCUUCAGGCGAACCAUAUAUUCAAGACCAAAGAUCAUAUCUCAUAAUGAGGAGCAGCAUAAGAUGGAAGCAGCUGAAUGAAUAAAACUGAGAUGAAAUAAUUUGUCCAAAGUUGUAUAUUUGGUAAGUGGUGGAGCCUAGAUAAGAAUCUAGGUUAGUGUAUUUCAAAAGCUGAUAAUCCCACUUCCUUCCCUGAUGUCCCUGAACGAUGAUAA